AACACAUGCAAGUCGAGCGGGCGUAGCAAUACGUCAGCGGCAGACGGGUGAGUAACGCGUGGGAACAUACCUUUUGGUUCGGAACAACACAGGGAAACUUGUGCUAAUACCGGAUAAGCCCUUACGGGGAAAGAUUUAUCGCCGAAAGAUUGGCCCGCGUCUGAUUAGCUAGUUGGUGAGGUAACGGCUCACCAAGGCGACGAUCAGUAGCUGGUCUGAGAGGAUGAUCAGCCACAUUGGGACUGAGACACGGCCCAAACUCCUACGGGAGGCAGCAGUGGGGAAUAUUGGACAAUGGGCGCAAGCCUGAUCCAGCCAUGCCGCGUGAGUGAUGAAGGCCCUAGGGUUGUAAAGCUCUUUUGUGCGGGAAGAUAAUGACGGUACCGCAAGAAUAAGCCCC
rnacentral:rRNA from 2 species